rnacentral:rRNA from 1 species
GGAAUUGUUUAUUUAAAUUUAAUUGAAAUAUCAUUUAUUUUAUUAUUGUUUAAGAAAAAAUUAUUUUUAUUAUAGUAUAGUAGUAUUGUGAAAGAAAAUUGAAAUAGGUGAAAAAUUUAAAUAUUGAAAAGAAAAAUUAAUUUUUUGUACCUUGUGUAUCAGGGUUUAUUAAAUAGAAAUUAAUGAUAUUAAUAUUCUCGAAUUAAAAAGAGCUAAGAGAUUAUUUAUUUUACUGUAGAAUAAGUAUUUAAAAUAAUUUUUUAGUAAUGAAACGUUAUUCGUUUUUUAAGAUAUCUAGUUUUUUAAGAAAAGAAUUUAAUUCUAUUAUUUUAAAUUAUAAAAUCAAAUAUUUUGAUUUUAUAAUGAAAAUAAUAAAUAUUUAAAGGGAUAAGCUUUUAAAUAAAAUUUUAAAAAAAAAUUAUUUAUAAAUAAAUUGUAGAAUUAGAAAUUUUCAUCAUUUUAAGUAUGUUAUAAUUUAUUAUAUUUUAAAUAAAAUUUAUAUUAGUUUUAAAUAGUUUAUUAAAAUAAUAAUUUGAAUAUUAAAAAUUAUGUAAUAAUGAUAAAAUUAGUAUAUUUUUAUGUAAAAAUAAGUUAAAAUUGUUAGGUAAGAUUAAGGAAUUCGGCAAAUAUUUUUUCCGCCUGUUUAAUAAAAACAUGUCCUUUUGAUAAUAAUUUAAGGUCUGACCUGCCCAAUGAGGAUUUAAAUGGCCGCGAUAUUCUGAUCGUGCGAAGGUAGCAUAAUCAUUAGUUUUUUAAUUGAAAGCUAGAAUGAAUGGUUGGACGAGAAAAAGACUGUCUCAAUUUUAAUUUUUUAGAAUUUUAUUUUUAAGUUAAAAAGCUUAAAUAAAUAUUAAAGACGAGAAGACCCUAUAGAGUUUUAUAAUUAUUUAUAUAAUAAAACAAAAGAAUAGAUUUUUUUGUUAUAUAAAUAAUUAUUUGGUUGGGGUGACUGAAAAAUUGAAAUAACUUUUUUUUAUUUUAAAUACUAAUAUGUAGUUAUUUGAUCCAUUAAUAAUGAUUAAAAGAAUAAAUUACCUUAGGGAUAACAGCGUAAUUUUUUUUGAGAGUUCUUAUCGAAAAAAAAGAUUGCGACCUCGAUGUUGGAUUAAAGUUUAAUUUUGGUGUAGAAGCUAAAAGGAUUUAGUCUGUUCGACUAUUAAAACUUUACAUGAUCUGAGUUUAAACCGGUGUGAGCCAGGUUGGUUUCUAUCUUGAUAUAGAUAAAAUAUCUUAGUACGAAAGGACCAGAUAUUUGAUAAAUUAUUUUUAUAUUGAAUAUGAAUAAUAUGUU